rnacentral:rRNA from 1 species
GCGGGUGCUUGCACUCGUGGAUCAGUGGCGAACGGGUGAGUAACACGUGAGUAACCUGCCCUCCACUCUGGGAUAAGCGCUGGAAACGGCGUCUAAUACUGGAUACGACCGACCCUCGCAUGGGGUGUUGGUGGAAAGAUUUAUCGGUGGUGGAUGGACUCGCGGCCUAUCAGCUUGUUGGUGGGGUAAUGGCCUACCAAGGCGACGACGGGUAGCCGGCCUGAGAGGGCGACCGGCCACACUGGGACUGAGACACGGCCCAGACUCCUACGGGAGGCAGCAGUGGGGAAUAUUGCACAAUGGGCGAAAGCCUGAUGCAGCGACGCCGCGUGAGGGAUGACGGCCUUCGGGUUGUAAACCUCUUUCAGCAGGGAAGAAGCUUUUGUGACGGUACCUGCAGAAGAAGCACCGGCUAACUACGUGCCAGCAGCCGCGGUAAUACGUAGGGUGCGAGCGUUGUCCGGAAUUAUUGGGCGUAAAGAGCUUGUAGGCGGUUUGUCGCGUCUGCUGUGAAAAUUCAGGGCUUAACCCUGGACGUGCAGUGGGUACGGGCAGACUAGAGUGUGGUAGGGGAGACUGGAAUUCCUGGUGUAGCGGUGGAAUGCGCAGAUAUCAGGAGGAACACCGAUGGCGAAGGCAGGUCUCUGGGCCAUUACUGACGCUGAGAAGCGAAAGCAUGGGGAGCGAACAGGAUUAGAUACCCUGGUAGUCCAUGCCGUAAACGUUGGGCGCUAGGCGUGGGUCUCAUUCCACGAGAUCCGUGUCGCAGCUAACGCAUUAAGCGCCCCGCC